rnacentral:lncRNA from 1 species
UUCUUUUCAGCUCGUCGAUAUAUUCACUAAGUCGUUGUUGGGGCCUUUGCAUCAUCAACAUCUCGGCAAGUUGGGUGUCUCUCCACACCUCCAACUUGAGGGGAGGUGUUUGAAUUCAUUGUAAAUAUUUAGUCAAUUAUUGUGAAUAUAUUUUAGGUACAUGCUAUAUAUUUAAUUUUUUUUACAUGUAUACAAUAUUUUAUUCCCUUUUAUUGCGUAGGAUUAUUGUAUUAGAUUGGCUAUAAAUAGUGGUAUUUUGUACAAAGGAUUCAUCAAGUAAUAAGAAGAAAAAUUUCAUACUUUAUUUAUUUUUGCAUAUUUUUGUGUUCUUCUUCAUAUAUUUUAUAUUCAUGAAACAUAUUUUCCAACAUGGCCAA